GGAAGGUAGCCAGAUACGGUUUGCUGGGCCGCACUGCUAACGCGGUUCUCGUACAGAGAUGAGGGUUCGACUCCCUUGCCUUCCG
rnacentral:tRNA from 1 species